UGUAUUUCUUUGUGUUUAGCUGAGUAUGGUUCCUAAUCAGAGGCUAUCGUUGUCUCCGAUUGGGAAUCAUACUUAAGUAAGUGGAAACUUUUUCUCUUUUAAUUCAGCUUUCUUCCCAUUUCUUGUGUUUUCAAAAACAAACCAGGUUGUAGUUUUAAAAUGCAAACCAACUGGAGGAGAUUAUUCAAAAAUGGUAUCUUAAAAUAAGUAACCAAAUCCCACUGGCCCAGGUAUUAUUUCAUCUGUAACCAAAUCCCACUGGCCCAGGUAUUGUUUCAUCUGUAACCAAAUCCCACUGGCCCAGGUAUUGUUUCAUCUGUAACCAAAUCCCACUGGCCCAGGUAGUUUAAUCUGUAACCAAAUCCCACUGGCCCAGGUAGUGUUUCAUCUGUAACCAAAUCCACUGGCCCAGGUAGUGUUUCAUCUGUAACCAAAUCCCACUGGCCCAGGUAGUGUUUCAUCUGUAACCAAAUCCCACUGGCCCAGGUACUGUUUCAUCUGUAACCAAAUCCCACUGGCCCAGGUACUGUUUCAUCUGUAACCAAAUCCACUGGCCCAGGUACUGUUUCAUCUGUAACCAAAUCCCACUGGCCCAGGUAGUGUUUCAUCUGUAACCAAAUCCCACUGGCCCAGGUACUGUUUCAUCUGUAACCAAAUCCCACUGGCCCAGGUAGUGUUUCAUCUGUAACCAAAUCCCACUGGCCCAGGUAGUGUUUCAUCUGUUACCAAAUCCCACUGGCCCAGGUAGUGUUUCAUCUGUAACCAAAUCCCACUGGCCCAGGUAUUGUUUCAUCUGUCAACUAAUGACACUCAUUGCACUGUGCACCUGAGGCUAUGGCAGGUAGCCUACAUCUAGGUUACAAUAGUAGUCAACAGUUAGUAUGACACAUUACAUUACAGUGUGGCAGGUUAAAGCCUCAGGCUUAGUUUUAUUACUAGACGAGGUCCAUUAUCAGAUCUGACCCAUAUGAUUCAGUCAUUGAAACCCAUGUCACCUUCAAACACACACACAGCACUUCUUUAGUGGGUUUGAGGAGGGUCAGGGCUUGAUGUUUAAUGCGAGCUCAACGUCAGCUCCUUAGUUGGCCAAACUCUCUUUAUUAAUUGCUAUUGUUAGUAUAGUUUUUAUCUCACAAUCUCUAGUUCUCCUUGUCAAUUCAAGCCCCAUGUCAGAGUGGACCUCCCUGGUGCAUUCCAUCAGUCAAAGUUAUGUGUAUAGGGCUAUUCUUUCUGACACUUUCGUAUCCACCGUUCAUGCAGAAUGGCUCCAGCCGUAAGCUGUGUCCUAGUUGUAACAUCAAUAGGAGUAGCAUCAAAGAAGUGCAAGUUCUGUGGUGCAACAACACAGCUAAAGGUCAAGUUAGAGGCCCAAAAAAUGAAGGCUACAGAUGAAUGGGCAAAUAAGACAAUGAAACAUGGAAGAUAUGCAACCUUGGUUAAUGCAGCAAACAAGCUGGUAAGCUUUAUUAUGUUUUCCUCUAAAAAGAUUUCUGCAUUUCUAGCUUAGGGAUAUGAUAGGCCCUAUGCACUUAUUUGUUGUUGUCUCAUUGUGUCAUUUAAGACUGUAAAUCUAAAUGUCAUUAUUUGACUGAUAUUUGUUGUGUUUCUGGAAGUUAUUUUGUCAUUAAUGAUUCCAGGUACAUAGGUUCCACAAGGUAGGAGUGUACCCCCGCUACUCCUCAGCAAGAGGAAGAAGGAUAACAUUUUGUCGUCAACUGCACUGUGUCCUCCCAGUGGUAUGAUGAAUCAGACCUCAAUGGCACCAAUCCAAAGGUUGUAUGAGGCAAUUGUGAAAGUGGCAAUCAACACCCAUACCCCCACACUACAACCAUCCAACCCUCCUGCUGUUGCUGCCCAAGAACUGUCUGAUACAGUUGACCCCCAGGAGACCAGCUACACCUCCAUCCUCAACCAGGUUGAACCCCCGAUAUCCCCCACCACCCAGGAGACCAGCUCCACCCCAUCCUCAACCAGGUUGAACCCCCGAUAUCCCCCACCACCCAGGAGACCAGCUCCACCCCAUCCUCAACCAGGUUGAACCCCCGAUAUCCCCUACCACCCAGGAGACCAGCUCCACCCCAUCCUCAACCAGGUUGAACCCCCGAUAUCCCCCACCACCCAGGAGACCAGCUACACCCCCAUCCUCAACCAGGUUGAACCCCCGAUAUCCCCCACCACCCAGGAGACCAGCUUCACCCGGAUCCCCAACCAGGUUAAACCCCCAAUAACCCCCACCACCCAGGAGACCAGCUACACCCACACCAAACCAAAGAAGACGGAGAGAAAGUCCCGUCACCCUCAAAAACCCCUCCAACUCGCUGAGCAUGACACAGCCAACCCCAUCCAACCCCAUCCUACCCCAUCCAACUCCAUUCUACCCCAUCCAACCCCGACCAAGGAAGAGGAAAUAUGACUACAUGCAAAAAGAGUGUCCAGUGCAUCCGGGGCAAACGUUUUUCCCUAUUCUCAAGAUUCUUGCCAAUAGAACUUCAAAGGAGGUAAAUCUGCAGAACAUUGAAAUUCCUGUGACUGUAUUUACAGGCUAAUCCUAGUGCAACACCAAUUGUAGUUAACUUGCAGUGCAUAGACCUUGUAGUUAAAGUGGCAAUAUGUAACUUUCUGGGUGGCC